GACGAACGCUGGCGGCGUGCUUAACACAUGCAAGUCGAACGGUGAAGCGCCUUCCUUUUUGGUGGGUGUGGAUGAGUGGCGAACGGGUGAGUAACACGUGAGUAACCUGCCCCCUUCUUCUGGAUAACCGCAUGAAAGUGUGGCUAAUACGGGAUAUUCUGGGUCUGUCGCAUGAUGGGUCUGGGAAAGAUAUUGUUUCGGUGGGGGAUGGGCUCGCGGCCUAUCAGCUUGUUGGUGGGGUGAUGGCCUACCAAGGCGGUGGCGGGUAGCCGGCCUGAGAGAGUGAACGGUCCAAGUGGGAGUGGGACACGGCACAGACGCCGACGGGAGGCAGCAGUGGUGAAUAUUGCACAAUGGGCGCAAGCCUGGUGCAGCGACGCCGCGGGAGGGAUGGAGGCGUUCGGGUUGUGAACCUCUUUCGCCAGUGAAGCAGGCCUGCCUCGUUUGUGGGUGGGUUGACGGUAGCUGGAUAAGAAGCGCCGGCUAACUACGUG
rnacentral:rRNA from 1 species